AUUGAACGCUGGCGGCAUGCCUUACACAUGCAAGUCGAACGGCAGCACGGGAGCAAUCCUGGUGGCGAGUGGCGAACGGGUGAGUAAAGUAUCGGAACGUGCCCAGUCGUGGGGGAUAACGUAGCGACAGUUACGCUAAUACCGCAUACGAUCUAUGGAUGAAAGCGGGGGAUCGCAAGACCUCGCGCGAUUGGAGCGGCCGAUAUCAGAUUAGGUAGUUGGUGGGGUAAAGGCUCACCAAGCCGACGAUCUGUAGCUGGUCUGAGAGGACGACCAGCAACACUGGGACUGAGACACGGCCCAGACUCCUACGGGAGGCAGCAGUGGGGAAUUUUGAACAAUGGGCGAAAGCCUGAUCCAGCCAUGCCGCGUGCAGGAUGAAGGCCUUCGGGUUGUAAACUGCUUUUGUACGGAACGAAAAGGUUUGGGCUAAUAAGCUGAGCUCAUGACGGUACCGUAAGAAUAAGCACCGGCUAACUACGUGCCAGCAGCCGCCGUAA
rnacentral:rRNA from 1 species